UACGCGCUGGCCAACGUGCAGCAGGU
rnacentral:piRNA from 1 species